AACGCACAUUGCGCCCCUUGGUAUUCCGAGGGGCAUGCCUGUUCGAGCGUCAUUACACCACUCAAGCAUAGCUUGGUAUUGGAGGAUGCGGUUCGCCGCACCUCUCGAAUCGACCGGCUGAGCGUCAUCGUCUCUUAGCGUUGUGAUACAUAAUCGCUUCUGGGAUCGGUGGUGUUUGCGCCGUUAAACCUCUUUUUAUCAGGUUGACCUCGGAUCAGGUAGGGAUACCCGCUGAACUUAA
rnacentral:misc_RNA from 1 species